rnacentral:lncRNA from 1 species
GGAGAAACGAAGCUUUGCUUGACUCCCAACCUUGAGCUCAUCGACUGCACAGGAGACGGCAGACAAAAUGCCAACCACAGUGGCUGUGUUCCAAGCUGUGCUUUGGGAGCAGUCAAUCUGAAAACUUUGCUGAAGAGAAUUAUAUUUAGUAACGGGUGACAAAGAGAAGAAGACAUUGAGAUGUCAAUUAUUCUGGUGAGUUAAUGCAAAAUCUGGGUGUUUAAAUCAAGUGGUUUAGGGAUAUGAGAAGGAAAAGAG